rnacentral:ncRNA from 1 species
CCCACUGAAUUUAAGCACACUAGUUAGUGGAGAAGAAACUUAACAAGGAUUCCCUCAGUAACAGCAAGUGAACAUGGAAGAGCCCAGUGCUAAACCUCUGCCCCACAGUGGGGGUGUUGGAAAUGUGGCAUAGAGAAGACCCACUCCCCACUGCUGCCUAUAGCACCCAAGUCCUUCUGAUUGAGGCCCAGCCUGAUGAUGGUAUAAGGCCAGCAGCAGGCUCUGGUGCACUGGGCCUGGGCAUUAUUGGGGCCAUGUUGCUUGAGAAUGUACCCCAAAGUGGGUAGUAAACUCCAUCUACUAAGGCUAAAUACGUGCACAAAAUUGACAGUCAAUAAGAACCAUAAGGGAAAGUUAAAAAGAU